rnacentral:rRNA from 1 species
AUACGCGAGGAACCUUACCUGGGCUAGAAUGCAGAUUGACCGUGGGUGAAAGCUCAUUUUGUAGCAAUACACAGUCUGUAAGGUGCUGCAUGGCUGUCGUCAGCUCGUGCCGUGAGGUGUUGGGUUAAGUCCCGCAACGAGCGCAACCCCCAUCAUUAGUUGCCAUCAGGUAAAGCUGGGAACUCUAAUGAAACUGCCGUCGUAAGACGCGAGGAAGGAGGGGAUGAUGUCAAGUCAUCAUGGCCUUUAUGCCCAGGGCUACACACGUGCUACAAUGGAAGGGACAAAGAGCUGCCACUUGGCAACAAGGCGCUAAUCUCAAAAACCCUUUCUCAGUUCAGAUUGGAGUCUGCAACUCGACUCCAUGAAGCUGGAAUCGCUAGUAAUCGUAUAUCAGCAAUGAUACGGUGAAUACGUUCCCGGACCUUGCACACACCGCCCGUCAAGCCAUGGAAGUCUGGGUGUACNCUAAAGUCGUAACCGCCAGGAGCCGCCU